rnacentral:rRNA from 1 species
UACGAAGGGGGCUAGCGUUGCUCGGAAUCACUGGGCGUAAAGCGCACGUAGGCGGCUUUUAAGUCAGGGGUGAAAUCCUGGAGCUCAACUCCAGAACUGCCUUUGAUACUGGCGACCUUGAGUCCGGGAGAGGUGAGUGGAACUGCGAGUGUAGAGGUGAAAUUCGUAGAUAUUCGCAAGAACACCAGUGGCGAAGGCGGCUCACUGGCCCGGUACUGACGCUGAGGUGCGAAAGCGUGGGGAGCAAACAGG